rnacentral:rRNA from 1 species
AAUGAACGCUGGCGGCAUGCCUUACACAUGCAAGUCGAACGGCCGCGCGGGCUUCGGCCUGGCGGCGAGUGGCGAACGGGUGAGUAAUACACCGGUACGUGCCCUGUCGUGGGGGAUAGCACGGCGAAAGCCGGAUUAAUCCCGCAUACGACCUGAGGGUGAAAGCGGGGGAUCUUCGGUCCUAGCGCUAUUGGAGCGGCCGAAGGCAGAUUAGCUAGUUGGUGGGGUAAAGGCCUACCAAGGCGACGAUCCGUAGCUGGUCUGAGAGGACGACCAGCCACACUGGGACUGAGACACGGCCCAGACUCCUACGGGAGGCAGCAGUGGGGAAUUUUGGACAAUGGGCGAAAGCCUGAUCCAGCAAUGCCGCGUGUGUGAUGAAGGCCUUCGGGUUGUAAAACUCUUUUGGCGGGGACGAAAAUAACUGUGCCUAUACCACGAUUCGAUGACGGUACCCGCAGAAUAAGCACCGGCUAACUACGUG